AGUGCAGGCUGGAGAUGAAGGGCAGGAGAGCGCGGUCAAAGUUGGUGCUGGUGAAGCGGUGGUCCACAUCCCCGCGGCCGAAGGUGUGGACCUUCUUGGUCAAGUCUGGAGGAAGGGGAACAAGGCGGGCGAGCGGCAGACGCGAGCGGACAGACGAAGGAAGAGGACGAGGAAGGAGGAACAUAGAGGAGAGGAAGAGGAAUGGAAGGAGGACGAGGAACGAAGAAGAGCGAAAGAAGGAAGAGAGGAGUGACGGAGAGUAAAGAGGAAGAGGAGAAAACGGAGAAAGAGGAGGAACGAGAACGAGAGACGAGCAGGAAUGGGGGAAGUAGAGGAACAGAGGAAACUGGAGAAAAUAGAAGGAAGACGAAGAGGAGGAAGAGGAAGAAUUAAAGCUCCAGAAGAAAAUGGAAGGAAGACGAAGAGGAAGAAUUAAAGCUCCAGAAGAAAAUGGAAGGAAGACGAAGAGGAGGAGGAAGAAGAAUUAAAGCUCCAGAAGAAAAUGGAAGGAAGACGAAGAGGAGGAGGAAGAAUUGGAGCUCCAGGAAUUGAAGACUUCUAUUCCAGACAUCAUCUUCAUAUCCCAGCGGAGGUUUUGGUGACUCGCGACUCCAUCCAGUGACUCUCCCAGCAGUGUAGAGCAGUCUUGGUAAGUCAUUCAGGGUUUGUUUGCCUCUUUGUAUGCCUCUCUAGUGAUUGUGGCGAUGAGUACUUGCCACACGCCAUUCACAGAGGCAGAAUAGAUAUGAAUAAACCCCAAACGUUGCCAGAUUGUCCUACUCAGCCUCUUAUGUUUGGUGAUUUCAGAGCCAAAACCUGUCUCCUCCACCCCAAUAACUGACUUCAUUUAUAGUUAUCGUUAAAAUGGUUAAUUAUCGGUGUUUCUUGGCAAUAGUUAUGGUAAAUACGAUCCUCUGAGGACGAUAAUCUGGCAAUGGUGAUAAACCCACACUUGUAGACAAAAGAUGUAUAUUUACCAGACUUUCAGGGGACAUUGCUGCAGUCGUCUGUGGUUUAAAGGAACAGUAGGAGGAGGGAUAAGUACAUACAGAGCUUAUUGUAUACACACACGAACAAGUAACCAGACUUUCCCGGUAUUUGACCUUUGAAGUGAUGGGUUUGCACACUCAGGUCACUCCAAAGAUCAUGUACUGGGAAAAUCAUGUUGCUUGUUCGUCUGUGUAUAGGAGGACCUCUGUGUGUACUUUCCCUGCUCCUAACUCUUCCUUAAAACUACUGGAGAUGACGGUAGUGUCUAAUGAAGCAGUCUGGUAUAUAUAUUCAUCUUCCAUCUGCCAGUGUGGGUUCACUAUGCAUCUGUUCUGUCUUGUGUGAAUGAUGUCUGGGGAAUCUUCACCACCACCAUCAUCCACACUAGAGGCACCAAGCACUGACCAACUCACCAGGAUAACUCUACACUGCUGGGAGAGUCACUGGGUGGAAUCACAAGCCACAGACGAACUUCCGCUUGGCUUUAUGGCUGCACCUUCAUGUAACUUGCAGAACCCAAUAAAGAAAAUCAACUGUC